UCAGACCUUUGCAGUGCAAAGGUUAAAUAAGAGCUUGCCAUCAAGUUGGGGCAGUGAGACUGGAAUUCAAACAAUGUUAAUUAAUCAGAGAACUCUAAGUACAAUUAAGAAGCUAGCUGUAAGGUACAAAGGAAAAAAAUUAGAAUCAUGUGUGGAAAAGCAGAGUUUUCUAGAGGCUACCUGAAUGCUGAUUGUUGAGAAGUUAUAGAGUACCAUCUCAGCAGGGUGUUAACAUGAAGGGAAAGUUCACAGUCUAGAUGUGACAGAAUGUGUUCCUUGUUUGUACCUGCCUUGUUUCAGAAAAAGGAUGCUGGAGUGACUAGACAUGACACUGAAAGACGGACAGGAAGCAUAUCUUCAAGAGCUUUGCAUUUGAGCUAGGCAUGGUGGCACAUGCCUUUAAUCCCAGCACUUGAGAGACAGAGGCAGGCAGAUUUCUGAGUUCGAGGCCAGCCUGGUCUACAGAGUGAGUUCCAGGACAGCCGGGGCUACACAGAGAAACCCUGUCUCAAAAAACAAAACAGAAAAACAAAGAAAUUUUCAGAAUGUUGAAUGAAGAUAGAAAUUGAGUCAAGUAAUAAACAUGUAUGAUUCAGUUUGUCUAGAAGUCAAAAAUUGGGUAUAUAUGAUAUGCUUGUAUAUACUUGUAUGUGCAAAGGAAAAGAUAUGAAAGAAUGUACAUUAAAGUGUUAGCAGUGAUAGCCUCUGAGGGAUGGGAAUGGAGAGGAGGUGGUUUGUUUGGUUUAUGUACAGUAGGUAAGUGUUAUGCUUUUAUUUCUGUAUCUUAGUUUUAUAAUGUGUAUUAUUUUUUGUAAUAAAAUGUUAAUUUAACAGCAAUAGAAUCGAGAGUGAUUUUAAGUAGUCCAAGCUAAGGAGGUGGAAUCUAAAGUUCAAUGGUGCCAUUGGAAUGAAGGGAAGGGGAAUGGCAUUAAGGCAUCUUCAGAAAGGGGUGUGAUCAAUAGGACUUCAUAACCAGUUGGCACUUGAGACUCAAAAGGAGAACUAGAAUAGGUUUCUAGAAUUUUGACUUGAGAAAUUAAAUAGGUACAUGAUAUUCAUUUUUAUAUUGCUCAUAUUUAAUUUAUAUUUAUUUUUAAUUAAAAUAAAAUUAUAUCGUUUCUUC
rnacentral:lncRNA from 1 species